GGCCAGAUCUCGCAUAUCUUCGUGAGUCGUGACCUCCGCUCGCGAAGUCGCUGGCUCAGGCGCUGCUACCGUUCGAGACAAGUCUCGCCGCCCACACCGCCACUAGGAAACCUUCUUCUCUCCUCGCCGCCCGCGGCCGGCCCCUUCUCCAGAACCUUCUAGAACCCAUCGGGGCUCCGGGAUGGAGCCCAGAAGACGAGAGCGCAGGGUCAUCGCCAUCGCCGGUGCGGCAGCGCUCGUUGCCGUGGGCCUCAAUAUCGCCUUCUCCGCCGUCGUCGCCCACCGUCGGAGGAAGCGACGAGAGCUUCCAGGGUUUACUGCUCAAGUCAACCUAUCAGCAGCUGCGAUUAAAAGAACGACCGACCGUAUCAUCUCUAAGUCAAGGGAAACUUAUGAUUCAGUGGCUGCAGUGCCCCUAGAUAAAGUCAGUUUUGCUAAUGUCAUUGCACCAUUGGCAGAAUUAGAUGCGCUGCAAUUCCCUCUGGUUCAAGCUUGUGUUCUUCCUAGGAUGGUAUCACCAUCUGAGGAUGUUCGCAAGGCAAGUGCUGAAGCAGAGAAGCUAUUGGAUUCCCACUUUGUGCUUUGCAGGCAGCGUGAAGAUGUUUAUCGUGUCAUAAAAGCAUUUACAGUGAAAGGCGAGAGAAUAGGUCCUGAAGCAACAAGAUUUCUUCAGUUUUUGGUGAAAGAGUUUGAGCGCAAUGGAGUAAAACUAUCUCAAAGCAAGAGAAAAGAAAUGGAGAAAUUGAAAUCUCAUAUAGAUGCAUUAAACUUGAAGUAUCUCCAAAAUUUGAAUGAUUUCACCAAAUUCCUUCUUUUAGGUGAAGAUGAACUAGCUGGAAUGCCCUUUGAGUUCCUUAAGGAUCUGGAAAAGGCUGAUGGGAAGUUUAAGGUUCCGUUGACUAGUUACCAUGUUACUCCAGUUCUUGAGCACUGCAAGGUUGGCUCUACCAGGAAGCAGAUUGCUGUUGCUUAUGGACAAAAAGGUGGGAAGGAUAAUGUAGCCAUCCUAGAAAAUUUGGUCCAGCUAAGACACAAGUUUGCUAAAUUGCUGGGGUACACCAACUAUGCUGAUUUUGCUAUUGAGCCCAGAAUGCCAAAGACUUCGAGGAAGAUCUUAGAGUUUUUGGAAGAGAUGUCUGAACAAUUAAGUGAUGUGGCUAAUAGAGAGCUCAACAUACUCAAAGACCUCAAGAUCAAGGAGGAAGGAAAUGCUCAGUUUGGAAUGGAAGAUUUGUUGUACUACAUCAAAAGAGCUGAAGAAUUCAAGGUUGAUCUUGACGUUGGUGAAAUUAAACAAUACUUCCCUGUUGGCCUGGUCAUAUCUGGAAUGCUGAAGAUAUUUCAGGAUCUAUUUGCACUACGAUUCGACGAAAUUAAGGAUGUUGAUGUUUGGCAUGAUACAGUUCGUGUGUUUUCUGUUUGGGAUGCAAGUUCAAGUGAUCUUUUGGGUUACUUUUUUCUUGAUAUCUUUUCCAGGGAAGGAAAGUAUGCCCACACUUGUGUUGUGACCCUUCAGAAUGGAUGCUUAUGUUCUAAUGGUACACGUAAGGUUCCGGCUGCUGUGAUAUUAUCUCAGUGUCCAAAAGAGUUUGAUGGUAAUUCAGCAUUGCUGCGGUUCCCUGAAGUUGUGAGGCUAUUCCAUGAAUUUAGCCAUGUGGUCCAUCACGUAUCCAACAGAGCCACCUUUUCAAGAUUUUCAGGCCUUCGACUGGAGGGUGACUUUGCUGAAAUUCCAAGCCUGCUACUCGAGAAUUGGUGCUAUGAGAGUAUUUCUCUGAAAAUGAUGUCCGGCUUCCAUCAGGACAUUACGAAAUCCAUAAGUAGUGAAGCUUGCCAAUCUCUGAAAAGAAGGCGUGAUUUGUUUGCUGGCCUGAAAAUGAAACAAGAGAUACUUUUGUGUGAGUCAUUUUGCUACCUAUCAAAUGAGGUGGAGUGAGAUUAUUGGUCCUUAAAUGUUAUCCAGCUCAGAAACUCCGACAAAAAAUAAUGAGGCCUUGUUGAUCAGAUAAUACAUUCAAGUGAGAAUGUGGACAUUGAUGACUUAAUCAAGGAUCUUCACCCCAAGGUAAUGUUGGGUAUACCUUUAUUGGAAGGGACCAGUCCAGCUUCAAGUUUUCCUCGUAUUGCCUUUGGCUAUGAUGCUGUGUGCUACAGUUACAUAUGGAGUGAGGUGUUUGCUGCUGAUCUUUUUGUAUCAAAAUUUAAAGAUGACUUGCUCAAUCAGCAUGCUGGAUUGCGGUUCAGAAAUAAGGUGUUGGCUCCAGGAGGCUCAAAAGAUCCCCUGGAGAUAAUAACGGACUACCUAGGAAGAGAACCAUCACUCCAACCUUUUAUUCAGAGCAGAACAAGGAACAGUCUGUGAGGGAUCAUUUAUGAUGUAACCGUUGAGUUUUUUCUUUCUUUUUUCCUUUUUGAAUUUAGCUAUAGAAGGCCUGCUGACUGUCUCGAGUUAUUUUUUUCGUAACGGACUGACAAGUCUGAUCUUUGUGCCAUUCUGUUUUCCGACGUCAUUUGUUUGACCAUUUAGUUAAGCUGGAAUACAAAAGAUGUCGCUAGAU